UCAACUGCUUUCCAAGGUUGAGGAUGGUCUCCUGGCACUCUGCCAACUUUUCUGAAGCAGCUGUAAUCUCCCAAUCCUGCAAGAUUGAUCAACAGCACUUCACUACCAAGUAAUCUGUAAGAUGCAAACUAAGCGCUAGGUACUGGACCUACUGGCUUGCAAAGGAUGCAUUAGAAGAUCAGCUAAUCAAUUUCGAGGUGAAAUUAGUGGCAGAGAAAAACUGAUCGAGCAAAAUGUUAAUGAACUACCUCUUCUUCAUUUCCUUUUGCAGAGUUGUGUAUGUUUUGGUCAGCUGGGGCACUGGUCUUCUCUGAAGAUUUCUUCCUCCAAAGCCAUGUCUUGUUGUCCAUUAUACUUCCCAGUCCAGUUUGAGUAGUAUAAUGAAUUUAUAAAAAGAAUCUGCAUGGAAACAUGAAAGAGGAAUUUGUAUGACUGGUGUUUCAUAUCAGCAACUAAUGCUGAUCACACAUUCAUAAUAUCGGUAGUCAAGAUGAUAACUUUUCUUGCAA